UACCUCAUCACCUCAUCCGCCUUCAUAAGGAGCCACAGGAUCAUCAGUCUUCGCCAGUCCGUUGCCCCUGAUGGAAUCCAGUACCACGAGUGGUCGCUCGAAUCAGUUCCCAGCCGUUCUCAUCAGUCUGUCCUCUCCUGCGGUCCCACCACGAGCCUCUGCCUCAUCAAGUGUCUCCACCCUCGUCAACAUCGGCCUACGGAGAAAUCCACCAGUGACGCCGCUUACUUCUGUCUUUCAGUUCGGAACCGACAUCUGGACCUGCUCACGUUCUGCUCUCUGCUCCUCGUAUUAAAACUCUUACCCGCCAA